rnacentral:rRNA from 1 species
AUGAAAGUGGAAAAAAUAACAUGUCUACAUGUUGAUAUUCCGGAUUGUGAGGUGAAAAUUUGCAGUCUGAAGAAGCCCAUGGGCAUUUUAUUGCCUGACGAAGGAAAAUCAGACCCUGCGAAAAAUAUAAUAUCGUUCUUACAUCAACAUGACUUUGAUAUCCCGGGAGGGAAGGUUGAGGAAUCUUAUUAUGCACCGGCUCUUCGCUUGCAUGAAGUCGAAUUAUGUGAAAAGAACUAUUUGAAGUUUUUCCGCCUUCUUUUAAACAAAUUUCUGUCUAGAUCCGGCAUUGACACUAAGAAUUGGAUUUUAAUCCAAUUUGCAACAGCUCUGAAGAUGAUCUGUCACCCUCGAGCAUCAUAUGAUGUCCACCACCCCGAUGAGAUUUUCUUACUCGACGUGUACUCAAAGAUAGUGGAUCAUUCACCUGGAUAUAAAGGAGGCUUUUUAAAGAUUGAUGUCCUUUCUCUCUACAAUGAGGUUCUAAGUCUCUGUUCACAGAGGAGUAGGCAUUUGUACAAAUUGGAUGCCUUGGUUAGGAAGGCUGCAAAGACGAAGGCUAAGUUAGAAGAACAUCCUUCCGUGGAAGUGCCUAACGGAUUCUGUAAAGAAAUCUACAGCAACGAGAGCAAGUCGAAAGAAGCUGCUGAGCAAACCGGAAAGAUUGAGGCAGCGUCAGACCCUUGGAAGAUGAGGCGACUACCAGGCUCAUCGACGUGGCAUUUGAUCCUGCAGAGAAAGAAGCACCAGACUUGA